rnacentral:rRNA from 1 species
UACAGGGGGUGCAAACGUUGUUCGGAAUCAUUGGGCGUAAAGCGCACGUAGGCGGCAUUGCAAGUCAGGUGUGAAAGCCUGGGGCUCAACCCCAGAAGUGCAUUUGAAACUGCAGUGCUUGAGUCUUGGAGAGGGCAGUGGAAUUCCGAGUGUAGAGGUGAAAUUCGUAGAUAUUCGGAGGAACACCAGUGGCGAAGGCGACUGCCUGGACAAAGACUGACGCUGAGGUGCGAAAGCGUGGGGAGCAAACAGG